rnacentral:tRNA from 4 species
GGGUUCGUGGCGCAGACUGGACAGCGCGGCGGCCUCCUAAGUCGUAGGUCGGGGGUUCGAAUCCCCCCGAACCCGCCA